AACGCACAUUGCGCUCUUUGGUAUUCCGGAGAGCAUGCCUGUUUGAGAAUCAGUAAAUUCAUCAACUGCUUAAUUGCGGUUGGAUAUGGGCGCUUUGAGACUUCACAGUCUCAAUAGCCUGAAAUUCAAUGUUACGCUUCCUUGAACCAGCAGUUCUAGGGCAUACGCAUGAAUGAGGCAACUCACAAGUACGUUUGUCGUCAAGGGCUGUCAGUUUGCUUGGAGUGUGUAACUCAACCAUUACCCAGAGUUGGCCGACGUCAGUCGGCCUUCCCUGAACACUUGGUCUCAAAUCAGGUAGGAAAACCCGCUGAACUUAA
rnacentral:misc_RNA from 1 species